rnacentral:rRNA from 1 species
ACGUGAAAUUGUUGAAAGGGAAGCGUUUAUGACCAGACUUGGACUUGGUUAAUCAUCUGGGGUUCUCCCCAGUGCACUUUUCCAGUUCAGGCCAGCAUCAGUUUUCCCCGGGGGAUAAAGGCGGCGGGAAUGUGGCUCUCUUCGGGGAGUGUUAUAGCCCGCCGUGUAAUACCCUGGGGGGGACUGAGGUUCGCGCAUCUGCAAGGAUGCUGGUGUAAUGGUCAUCAACGACCCGUCUUGAAACACGG